rnacentral:rRNA from 1 species
AACGAACGCUGGCGGCAGGCCUAACACAUGCAAGUCGAACGCCGUAGCAAUACGGAGUGGCAGACGGGUGAGUAACGCGUGGGAAUAUACCCUUCGGUUCGGAAUAACUCAGGGAAACUUGAGCGUAAUACCGGAUACGUCCGAGGUUUUAAUCGACCUUGGAGAAAGAUUUAUCGCCGGAGGAUUGGCCCGCGUCUGAUUAGGCUUGUUGGUGAGGUUAAUGGCUCACCCAAGGCGACGANCAGUAGCUGGUCUGAGAGGAUGAUCAGCCACAUUGGGACUGAGACACGGCCCAAACUCCUACGGGAGGCAGCAGU